AGUCAGGAACCAUGCGAGCGGAUGCCGCCCAACUCUGCCAGGUCCGGAAGGAAGCAACAGUAAGUGGUUGUUCGUUGCGCCGUGGCCUCCCUGACUGUG
rnacentral:SRP_RNA from 1 species